rnacentral:rRNA from 1 species
AGAGUUUGAUCCUGGCUCAGAAUCAACGCUGGCGGCGUGCCUCAGACAUGCAAGUCGAACGAUUAAACUUUCCUUCGGGAAAGAUAUAAAGUGGCGCACGGGUGAGUAACACGUAAGUAAUCUACCUUCGAGUGGGGAAUAACGUUCGGAAACGGACGCUAAUACCGCAUAAUGCAGCGGCAUCGCAAGAUGACRGUUGUUAAAGGAGCAAUUCGCUUGAAGAGGAGCUUGCGGCAGAUUAGCUAGUUGGUAAGGUAAUGGCUUACCAAGGCUACGAUCUGUAUCCGGUCUAAGAGGACGGUCGGACACACUGACACUGAAUAACGGGUCAGACUCCUACGGGAGGCAGCAGUCGGGAAUUUUGGGCAAUGGGCGAAAGCCUGACCCAGCAACGCCGCGUGAAGGAUGAAGUAUUUCGGUAUGUAAACUUCGAAAGAAUAGGAAGAAUAAAUGACGGUACUAUUUAUAAGGUCCGGCUAACUACGUGCCAGCAGCCGCGGUAAUACGUAGGGACCAAGCGUUGUUCGGAUUUACUGGGCGUAAAGGGCGCGUAGGCGGCAAUUCAAGUCAUCUGUGAAAUCUCCGGGCUUAACUCGGAACGGUCAGAUGAUACUGCUUUGCUAGAGUGCAGAAGGGGCAAUCGGAAUUCUUGGUGUAGCGGUGAAAUGCGUARAUAUCAAGAGGAACACCUGAGGUGAAGACGGGUUGCUGGGCUGACACUGACGCUGAGGCGCGAAAGCCAGGGGAGCAAACGGGAUUAGAUACCCCGGUAGUCCUGGCC